rnacentral:rRNA from 1 species
UCAAGCUAAUAAGAGCAUAAGGUGAAUGCCUUGGCAUCAAGAACCGAUGAAGGACGUAAAAAGCUGCGAUAAGCUUCGGGGAGGCGCACAUAGCCAACGAUCCGGAGAUUUCCGAAUGGGGAAACCUAGCUGAGAAAAGCUCAGUUGGCGUACAGUGAAUCAAUAGCUGUGCGUAGGGAACGCUCUGAACUGAAACAUCUAAGUAGGAGCAGGAAGAGAAAGAAACAUCGAUUUCCUAAGUAGUGGCGAACGAACGGGAAACAGGCCAAACCGAGAUACAUGUAUUUCGGGGUUGUGGACUACAUCAUGUGAUGGAGGUAAGGUAGUAGAAUUGUUUUGGGAAAGCAAGCCAAAGAAAGUGAAAGCCUUGUAUACGAAACCUGAAGACCCACAGUAGUAUCCAGAGUACAUCGGGACACGUGAAACCCUGAUGGAAGCCGGAGGGACCACCCUCCAAGCCUAAAUAUUCCUUGAUGACCGAUAGCGAAGAAGUACUGUGAAGGAAAGGUGAAAAGAACCCCGGGAGGGGAGUGAAAGAGAACCUGAAACCUUAUGUUUACAAACAGUCGAAGUUUUUCGGAACGACGGCGUACUUUUUGUAGAACGGUCCGGCGAGUUGCAGUGACAUGCGAGGUUAAGGAGUACAGCUCCGGAGCCGAAGGGAAACCAAGUCUUAACUGGGCGUCUAGUAUGUUAAUGCAGACCCGAAACCGGGUGACCUAUCCAUGGGCAGGUUGAAGUUACCGUAAAAGGUAAUGGAGGACCGAACUCACAUCUGUUGAAAAAGGUGGAGAUGACCUGUGGAUAGCGGAGAAAUUCCAAUCGAACUCGGAGAUAGCUGGUUCUCCUCGAAAUAGCUUUAGGGCUAGCCUUGAGGUAAAGUCUAAUGGAGGUAAAGCACUGAUUGGACGCGGGUCCCCAAAAGGAUACCAACUUCUAUCAAACUCAGAAUGCCAUAUAGAUAUACUCAGGAGUCAGACUAUGUGAGAUAAGUUUCAUAGUCAAAAGGGAAAGAGCCCAGACCGACAGCUAAGGUCCCAAAGUGUGUGUUAAGUGGAAAAGGAUGUUAGGUUUCUAAGACAACUAGGAUGUUGGCUCAGAAGCAGCCACUCAUUUAAAGAGUGCGUAACAGCUCACUAGUCGAGAGGUCUAGCGCCGAAAAUGUCCGGGGCUAAAACACACCACCGAAGCUACGGAAUUACCUAUGGUAAUUGGUAGAGGAGCAUUCUGUAAGGAUGAAGCACAAUUGAAAGAGAGUGUGGACGAAACAGAAGAGAGAAUGCCGGAAUGAGUAGCGAGAUAUAUGUGAGAAUCAUAUAGGUCGAAUGUCUAAGGUUUCCUGGGUAAAGCUGAUCUGCUCAGGGUAAGUCGGGACCUAAGGUGAGGGCGAGAGCCGUAAUCGAUGGACAACAGGUAGAAAUUCCUGUACUACGUAUAAUCAGAACUGUGGGGACGCAGGAGGAUAGGAAAACCGGAGAAUGGAAAAAUCCGGCUAAGUACAAAGGUGUGAGUGAUAGGCAAAUCCGUCACUAUUAGCUGAAGUACGAAUGGGAGCGAAGAAAAGUAGCGAAGUUUCUGAAUCCACACUGUCAAGAAAAGCCGCUAUUGCGUUAUACGUACCCGUACCGCAAACCGACACAGGUAGACGAGGAGAAAAUCCACAGACCGACGGGAGAAGUGUUGUUAAGGAACUCGGCAAAAUGACCCCGUAACUUAGGGAUAAGGGGAGCCAACGCAAGUUGGUCACAGAAAAGAGGCUCAAGCGACUGUUUAGCAAAAACAUAGGUCUAUGCGAAACCGUAAGGUGAUGUAUAUGGGCUGACACCUGCCCGGUGCUGGAAGGUCAAAAGGAGAGGUUAGCGUAAGCGAAGCUUUGAAUUCAAGCCCCAGUAAACGGCGGCCGUAACUAUAACGGUCCUAAGGUAGCGAAAUUCCUUGUC